ACACAAAUGUCAGAAUUAAUAUGAGUUGGUUUUAAGCACCAAAUAUGGGAUCACUCCCUUUGUGUU
rnacentral:tRNA from 1 species